CGGUAAUUCCAGCUCCAAUAGCGUAUACUAACGUUGUUGCAGUUAAAAAGCUCGUAGUUGGAUUUCUGAUCUUUGCCAAUGGUUGUGUCGCCGCGUGCGAGGCGCCUUGCGCAGAGGUCAACAUAUGUCACGAGCCAGUGUGAUCUAUUCAUUUAGGUCCACUGGGUAAUGACUCGUUUACUUUGAGAAAAUUAGAGUGUUCAAAGCAGGCAUUUGCCUUGAAUAUGUUAGCAUGGAAUAAUAGCAUAGGACUUCGGUUCUAUUUGUUGGUUGUUCGAGAACUGGAGUAAUGAUUGAUAGGGACGGUUGGGGGCAUCCGUAUUCUCAAGCGAGAGGUGAAAUUCUUGGACCUUGGGAAGACGAACAGCUGCGAAAGCGUUUGCCUAGGACGUUCUCUUUAAUCAAGAACGAAAGUUGGGGGAUCGAAGACGAUCAGAUACCGUCGUAGUCUCAACUAUAAACUAUGCCAGCUAGGGAUCGGUGGGUCUUUGUCACGAGUCCAUCGGCACCUUACGAGAAAUCAAAGCAUUUGGGUUCCGGGGGGAGUAUGGUCGCAAGGCUGAAACUCAAAGGAAUUGACGGAAGGGCACCACCAGGAGUGGAGCCUGUGGCUUAAUUUGACUCAACACGGGAAAACUUACCAGGUCCGGACAUAGUAAGGAUUGACAGAUUGAAAGCUCUUUCUUGAUUCUAUGGGUGGUGGUGCAUGUCCGUUCUUAGUUGGUGGAGUGAUUUGUCUGGUUAAUUCCGUUACCGAACGAGACCCGCGCCUGCUAAAUAGUCGGCCUCACUUGUGUGGGUGUUUUUCUUAUUAGAGGGACCAUGCUGGGUAUAACGGAAGGAAGGUCCGGACAAUAUCAGGUAUGUGAUGACAUUAGAUGUUCUGGGCUGCACACGGGCUACAAUACAAGACACAACAAGCGUCGAUCACGCCGGACGGGAAGGUCCGUCCAAUCUUAUAAUAUCUGGCGUGAAUGGGACAGACCAUUUCAAUUUUUGGUCUUCAGGCGAGGAAUUGUAUAGUAAGUCUCGUGUCACACAACAUCGCAUUGAUUACGUCCC
rnacentral:rRNA from 1 species